GUAUAUUGGAUCAGAAGCAGACCCUCCCCCCCAGACCCUCCCACCUCCUGGACAGCAUCCAUUUUACAUUCAUUGUGAAGCUGCAUUCUUAGUGAGCUGUCCAGGAGGUGGGAGGGUCUGGGAGGGAGGGUCUGCUGCUGAUUGGCUGG